AUGAGCAGGCUCAGGAUGAAGGGCGGCGGCUUGUAUCCGAGCUUCAUCGGAGUUGAUGUGGAGUACACCAGCGAAGAUGAACCUCCACAGAUGGCAGCAGUCCUGCAGUUGUGCGUCGAGGAACUCUGCUUGGUGUACCACAUCGCAGCGGCCACAAAAUGGCCCAUGUGCCUCACAGACUUCCUGCAAGAGGAGAAAUUGUACACAUUUGUCGGUUUCAGCAUUGGAGGUGACAAGCAGAAGCUGAACAUGUAUGGUUUGGAGAUCAACCCAAACAACUUCAUCGACAUGCAGCGGAAGUGGAAAGAUCCAAACACCAACAAAUACUACGACUCCUUGGCCGAUGUUGUAGGCAACGUCAUCCACCCAUUCUACAACAACAUGAAGAAGAAGAUGGACAAGGCAGACCACAAACUGUGGGGGACCAGCCCGCUGUCAGACAACCUCAUCACGUACGCAGGAAUAGAUGCGUACGCCACGUACAAGCCAUGGAAGACAAUCGACAACAUCGUGACAGGUUGGGAUAUUUCAAAAGAGCAGGAGGCUGACCCCUACUACCACUGCAACUUCGCGGGAUGA
rnacentral:rRNA from 1 species